AAGAAUUGAUUCUGCUAGACGUUGCUACAAGAGCAUGUGCAACUGCCUCUCAAAAUCCGCUGAACUCAGUAUCUGGGUGGGGGCUUGUCUCCAGCCAAGUUCACUCUCAAUUCCCUACCGUCAUAAUCGGCGCCGUCGAGGCUCUCAAUGGCAGCGUUAACCUCAGUCUCACUGGACAAAGUCACGAACCCAAAUCCACGUGACCUACCAGAGUCCCUUUCAGUCGCAAUUCUAGCUUCCAGAACUCUUCCGUAAUCCGAAAAUAGAGUCUCAAGAGCCUCCUCGUCGCACCUCCAGGACAGGUUGCCAACGAACAGCUUGUUAGGACCAUCCCUCUGUCUGCGGUCCCUGCUCCCGGACCUGUCUGAUCUGGGUGAUGAUGGUUCAUACUCUCUGGUAGAAAUCCAAGAGUCAAUUAAUAAAAAGCAAACAUAAUUGCAAGUUCAAGAGUAACAAAAAGAAUCAUGUAAUAAGCGGUACACAUGAGAAGCAGCUACAAUACAGAAAAUCAACAUGAUAGAGCGAAGUAAUGCAUUAUCCAGCCAGUCACCACUGUAGUAUCCCUAAUUGAAUGGAAUUCGUCCAAGACGGUUCGGGUAUUCACAAACUUCACUAACCAUAUAAACAUGAACGAAUAAGACGACGAACAUAGCAAACUUUAUUGUCUAGUACAUUUCCUUGCAUGCAUCCUCGCAAAUACAAUCUUCGUAGAUUAAGAGACCAACAAAUCACACACUUAAUAAGUACAACAAUGUCCUAAAAAAGUCAACAAAGCAAACCUCAGUAAGAUUCAAAGACUUAUGGAUAUUGAUAUAAAUUUAUUCUCAAU
rnacentral:lncRNA from 1 species